rnacentral:rRNA from 1 species
AGAGUUUGAUCCUGGCUCAGAGCGAACGCUGGCGGCAGGCCUAAAACAUGCAAGUCGAACGCCGUAGCAAUACGGAGUGGCAGACGGGUGAGUAACACGUGGGAACGUACCCUUUGGUUCGGAACAACACAGGGAAACUUGUGCUAAUACCGGAUAAGCCCUUACGGGGAAAGAUUUAUCGCCGAAGGAUCGGCCCGCGUCUGAUUAGCUAGUUGGUGGGGUACCGGCCCACCAAGGCUACGAUCAGUAGCUGGUCUGAGAGGAUGAUCAGCCACACUGGAACUGAGACACGGUCCAGACUCCUACGGGAGGCAGCAGUGGGGAAUUUUGCGCAAUGGGGGAAACCCUGACGCAGCAACGCCGCGUGGAGGAUGAAGUCCCUUGGGACGUAAACUCCUUUCGACCCGGACGAUAAUGACGGUACGGGUGGAAGAAGCCCCGGCUAACUUCGUGCCAGCCGCCGCGGUAAUAC